CCAAAGGAACUUCCUCUUCUCCUCAAGAUUCCAUUCUCCUGGGGCUCCCCCACAUGGAGCCUGGAGUUCCAGGGAUGACCUUUGAGAGGGACAGACUCCCAGCCCAGAGAGACAACCCUGGCUGGCAGCAUGCUAAGCGUUCUGACAUCUUUGUGUGGUGGCAUUUAUUGUCUGGGUUGGUGGGUUUUAUCAACUUGAUGUCCCUCCUUCAAUAGAGGAAG
rnacentral:lncRNA from 1 species